rnacentral:lncRNA from 1 species
UUGGGUCGACCCUAGGGGGUCGACUCAUGAUUCACAAAAUUUCAGAAAAAAUAUGAAUAAAUUUUAAAAAAAUUUAGAAUUCUGGGAGAAGAAUUUUUGCUCUAUGAAAAGUUGUGAGAAUGAUAAUCUUGAGCUUUUAGGUCCAAGAGAGAUGAUGAAAAUUGAGCUCAAAGAAAUUUUGACAUUGAUUCCUUGGAAUUAGAGAGAUAUUUAAGCAAAUGGAUCAAAUGUUGGGAAAUGUAUCCCAAAAAGCCAAUCGUCAAGCUGUUGACGGUUGAGCAACCAAGUAUUGUAAUUGAUUUGUUAAUAAAUAAAAUAUAUUUGGCAUUUUCAUCAUAAGCUUUCAUCUUCUAAUGAACUCCGUUGUUAUGAUAAAGUCCUUAGGACUAUUUAGAUUCAAUAAAGAGAGGAUUUAUCGAUUAGUCCUUAAAACUGUUCACGACCAAAUGAUAGGCUGUUAAUAAGGACGACAGCUUCUAUCGAGCAUAGGUCACUGUAGGCCAUAUGGGUUGGUUGUCCUCUUAACCAAAGAGUGUGGAGACACUGGUAUGGCGUACAGGUGAGAUGUAAGGGUACAUCAUCAUUGAACGUGACCAACUUCAGAGCAUUCUGCUGUCGAGAAUGUCUCUGAUGGGAUAUAGGUAUAAGUGUCCCUUAGACUUGAGAUCGCCUCAGUGACUUGCAAGCAACUCACUGUGCUUUGGUACUGAACUAACUGAAUUUCUAAUUUAGGGACGAAAGGCUUCUGGGCACAGUCAAGUACUUGCGAAGUCAGAGUGUGAUCGAGAUGGGAUUGACCACUCCAAGAGUUGGAGAAGAAUGAGUCGCUGUAUUUCAAUUUAGCAAAACCUUGGCCAGGGUAAUCCAUCAGAUGGAUUUGAUAUUUUGAAAUACAAUGUGGACAACCUGAUCAGAGAUGACAGUUGGACUCUGGGGUGUCCUAUGAUCAUUUUGGUCAAGGGGAUGAAUUAUAUGAAAACUAUAUCCGCAUGGGU